rnacentral:tRNA from 1 species
GCCGAUGUAGCUCAGUGGCAGAGCAAAUGUUUCGUAAACAUUAGGUCGGAGGUUCAAUUCCUCCCAUCGGCU